AUUGAACGCUGGCGGCAGGCCUAACACAUGCAAGUCGAACGGUAACAGGAAACAGCUUGCUGUUUCGCUGACGAGUGGCGGACGGGUGAGUAAUGUCUGGGAAACUGCCUGAUGGAGGGGGAUAACUACUGGAAACGGUAGCUAAUACCGCAUAACGUCGCAAGACCAAAGAGGGGGACCCUCGGGCCUCUUGCCAUCGGAUGUGCCCAGAUGAGAUUAGCUUGUUGGUGGGGUAACGGCUCACCAAGGCGACGAUCCCUAGCUGGUCUGAGAGGAUGACCAGCCACACUGGAACUGAGACACGGUCCAGACUCCUACGGGAGGCAGCAGUGGGGAAUAUUGCACAAUGGGCGCAAGCCUGAUGCAGCCAUGCCGCGUGUAUGAAGAAGGCCUUCGGGUUGUAAAGUACUUUCAGCGGGGAGGAAGGGAGUAAAGUUAAUACCUUUGCUCAUUGACGUUACCCGCAGAAGAAGCACCGGCUAACUCCGUG
rnacentral:rRNA from 1 species